rnacentral:rRNA from 1 species
UACAGAGGUCUCAAGCGUUGUUCGGAAUCACUGGGCGUAAAGGGUGCGUAGGCCGCACGGUAAGUCAGAGGUGAAAAUCCCGGAGCUCAACUUCGGAAUUGCCUCCGAUACUGCCGUGCUUGAGGACUGGAGAGGAGAUUGGAAUUCACAGUGGAGCAGUGAAAUGCGUAGAUAUUGUGAGGAACACUAGUGGCGAAGGCGAAUCUCUGGACAGUUCCUGACGCUGAGGCACGAAGGCCAGGGGAGCAAACGGG